UUUAACUGAAGAGUUUGAUCAUGGCUCAGAUUGAACGCUGGCGGCAGGCUUAACACAUGCAAGUCGAGCGGGGGAAGGUAGCUUGCUACUGGACCUAGCGGCGGACGGGUGAGUAAUGCUUAGGAAUCUGCCUAUUAGUGGGGGACAACAUCUCGAAAGGGAUGCUAAUACCGCAUACGUCCUACGGGAGAAAGCAGGGGAUCUUCGGACCUUGCGCUAAUAGAUGAGCCUAAGUCGGAUUAGCUAGUUGGUGGGGUAAAGGCCUACCAAGGCGACGAUCUGUAGCGGGUCUGAGAGGAUGAUCCGCCACACUGGGACUGAGACACGGCCCAGACUCCUACGGGAGGCAGCAGUGGGGAAUAUUGGACAAUGGGGGGAACCCUGAUCCAGCCAUGCCGCGUGUGUGAAGAAGGCCUUAUGGUUGUAAAGCACUUUAAGCGAGGAGGAGGCUACUUUAGUUAAUACCUAGAGAUAGUGGACGUUACUCGCAGAAUAAGCACCGGCUAACUCUGUGCCAGCAGCCGCGGUAAUACAGAGGGUGCGAGCGUUAAUCGGAUUUACUGGGCGUAAAGCGUGCGUAGGCGGCUUAUUAAGUCGGAUGUGAAAUCCCCGAGCUUAACUUGGGAAUUGCAUUCGAUACUGGUGAGCUAGAGUAUGGGAGAGGAUGGUAGAAUUCCAGGUGUAGCGGUGAAAUGCGUAGAGAUCUGGAGGAAUACCGAUGGCGAAGGCAGCCAUCUGGCCUAAUACUGACGCUGAGGUACGAAAGCAUGGGGAGCAAACAGGAUUAGAUACCCUGGUAGUCCAUGCCGUAAACGAUGUCUACUAGCCGUUGGGGCCUUUGAGGCUUUAGUGGCGCAGCUAACGCGAUAAGUAGACCGCCUGGGGAGUACGGUCGCAAGACUAAAACUCAAAUGAAUUGACGGGGGCCCGCACAAGCGGUGGAGCAUGUGGUUUAAUUCGAUGCAACGCGAAGAACCUUACCUGGCCUUGACAUACUAGAAACUUUCCAGAGAUGGAUUGGUGCCUUCGGGAAUCUAGAUACAGGUGCUGCAUGGCUGUCGUCAGCUCGUGUCGUGAGAUGUUGGGUUAAGUCCCGCAACGAGCGCAACCCUUUUCCUUACUUGCCAGCAUUUCGGAUGGGAACUUU
rnacentral:rRNA from 1 species